GGGUCGAUGCCCGAGUGGUUAAUGGGGGCGGACUGUAAAUCCGCUGGCUACGCCUACGUUGGUUCAAAUCCAACUCGGCCCA
rnacentral:tRNA from 3 species